AAUCCCGCCCGCUCGGUUCCCCCAUUUUUUUCCAUUCCCGCGCCCCCCAAAAUCCCCAAUCUCUUAGAACCAAAAUCCCUAAUUUCUACCAAAUAUCUCUCUCUCUCUCUCUCUCUCUCUCUCUCUCUCUCUUGUUUCGUUGUUCUUCAUAUCUGCAUCGAUCACUCUCUGACUUUCUCAUUGUUCAUCUCAUCGCACCGAUCAUCGCACCGCCGAUCUACUCACAGUCUCACUCUCUAGUUUUGCAUCUUUGUGUUCCCUUUGCCUAGGGUUUUUGUUCAAUUGGAUUCUCUCAUCUGCAGCCUGGAUUUUUUUAUUGUUUACUGUGAUGUAAAUUUUGCCAUUACCAAUGAAUAAAUGUCAAUAAAAACUACAAAAGAAGAGAGCAUCGUUUGCAAUUUCAGAGGAGUUAAUUGUGAGAGUGCUGUGCCCCUCUGACAUGAUUGGCCGCGUUAUUGGCAAGGGAGGGGGUUCAAUCAAAAGUGUGAGACAGGCCAGUGGUGCUCGUAUUGAGGUUGAUGAUAAGGCUGAUCGUGAUGAAUGUAUCAUCUCCAUCACCUCAACAGAGGUGUAGCUUUCUUUCUGCUUCCUUUUUAUUUAUAUUCUGAGUUCUUUGUCAAGUGCUCAAAAGGUAGCAGGAGGACAGGGAGAAACUGCUCUGCCUCUUGAUUUCCUCACU